GAACUAAAGCUCAAUGUCUUUACUGUUUGUAGUUAAAUGACUGUACUCGCUGUAUGCUGAAAACCUGCAUCUGCUGCUUGUGGUGCCUGAAGAAGUGUCUAAUGUACCUGAAUCAAAACGCGUACACGGCGACAGGUUUCAACAUCAGCAGUUUCUGUAUGUCGACAUGUGACACCUUCAUCCUCCUGGUAGAGAAUGCCCUCAGAUUGGCCACCAUCAACACCGUGAGGGACUUUGUCCUCUUCCUGGGAAAGUGUGUCUGUGUGUUGUAAGUCCAGGUACUGAUCAUCUCGUGCACGGCGUUCGCUGGCGUGCUGGAGUUCAACUUCCAGCGGGACUACACGGUGUGGGUCCUGCCCCUGCUCAUCAUCUGCCUGUUCUCCUGGCUGGUGGCCCACUGCUUCCUGUCUGUCUUUGAGAUCGUGGUAGAUGUGCUCUUCCUCUGCUUCGCCGUGGACACCAAGAACAACGACGGCAGCCCCGGCCGUGCUCACUUUGGAAGAAGGAUGGAGAAUCGGGACGCUGCCUUAUAAAUGCAGAGGAGUUUGUACAGAACAGUAAGAAUAUGGCGGGAAGGGAUCGGCCGGAGGCAGAUGGAGACGGUCGUGAGAUGAAGCCCAUGACUCAUGGAGGUGGGACUUUUUCUUGACCAAACCAGAAGACGCAAACCAAAAGGCAUUCCAAAUGUUUCCAUGAUAUUACACCACUUCCAGGGACUACAAUAUUUUUGGUAACCUGUUUUUUAAGUUAUGGAACACGUUACAUGAAAGCUUUGGAUUUUUUAAAAAGCACAAUGUGUUUUUGUGACAAAUGUUUUAGCUAACAGAAGUACAUCCAUCAAGAAUAUUGUUUGUGUAGUUUCAUGCUAUUUUACAGGCUGAGAGGUGAUGUUUGUAAGUUAAGCCUUUUGAGUCAAAGAAUUGUGAUUGAUUUUGAAAAUGCAUUCCAUGUCAUCACUGUUAUUUUGUCACCACUACCACGGUACACUACAAGUGUUUUGUAUCUCAAAUGAAUUCUUGGAUUGUGGUAAUGAUGAUCAUGUUCGCAUCUUGUCUUGAAUUGGUAAAUCUAAUACAAUUUUGACAAAUAUAACUGACUAGCAUAACAGAAACGUUCUUACAUGGACAUUUUUUUAAGUUUGUGAUUUUUGAUUUGUGAAAAGUUGUUCGUCCUCACCUGUUAACAGGAUCAUUUUAAUAUGGUGGAUCAAAUAUGAAAGAGCCAUUUACUCUGAUGAGGAUGUUUUAUAUUAGUUUAAUAUAUGAAAUGCAGGUCCUACAAAUAUUGAGGUUGUCUUAUGCCAGAGGCAAUGAAUGAUCAUAACUGACAAUACUUAAAUUGUGGAAACAUUGGGUCAUUACUGCUUAUUGAGGUGUAAUACUGCAUCGAUGAACAAAGGGAUCGUAUAUGACUAUCUCUAUUCCCUUCAUACGUUUUAAUCAAUCGUAUUUUUGAUAACAUUUUUGUGCAGGGUAAUAAAAGAAAGGAAAACAAGCUAUGUCCAUCUGUGUUUGUGAGAGUUGAGAGGCAGGAGAGGAUC